rnacentral:sRNA from 8 species
AUAUCUCUCUGUACGGGAAGGAUGAGAAGCUUCGACUAAGGUUCGAUUCGAGCGUCAGCGAGAAAGCGUUGCCGCAGGCAACGACCC